rnacentral:lncRNA from 1 species
UAAGGGAAUUAUUGGGGGAGAUUGCUUAUAUCUUCAAUGUGACUUCAAGUCUAUCUUUUUAUACUUUAUUUGCAUUUAUUAGUGUUUAAUCCCACAGAAUGAUCCCAUUCUCCUAUUUUAAGUGUUCUAAUUCCCGCACACAAUUCCUCUACCUAUAGGUUCUAAAUUUAUAAUUGUAGGUUGAAAGAAUGGUUUUGUUCAUUCAACCCUAAGCAUUCAGUGGUUGCUACAUUCUUCAUGUUACAUUUUCUCAGUUCCUUAUGUUGGUUAACGUCUUACUGAUUAGGCUGAGAACUAGAAUUUCCAUCACAGUAGUACUCAUGCUGAGUAGUCACUGCUUAUUGAUUUGUCUGGUGGAAAACCUGAAGGUAGGACCUGUAUCAGUCAGGGUCUUAGCAGGGAACCCCUGUUUAAUCAAGUUAGGGCUUAAUGGGAGAUAAUUUUCUUUCCAGAGGUACAGGCAGGGUUAAUCACUCCAAUAAGGGAUGUUGAAGUAUCCAGGGUUUCGCUACAGUGGGAAGCUAUUAUUGCCCCUAGGCCUGAAGGUCGAUGACAAGGAAGUUACUAGAAUCUGGCAAGUGAUGGAGUGGAGCUAUAGCCAAGGGGCUGCCUGAGAGGAGCAGUGGCCAAAUGUGAUUGAGAAUUGCUGGUGAAAUGAUUCACCAACCACAGGAAGAGGCUGACCAUCAUAGACCACAUUUCAAUGACUUAUGUUUCAUUAAUGAGUCAUCAUCAAUUUCUCUUUCAUUUUGAUAGCCCCCUCUUAGGAUUCAGGUUUUGAGGUAACUCUUCUACUAGACAACAUUUUAAAGUAGUAACUAUUUUUCUCAUUGCUAUUAACCAAGCCACACAUUAAUGCCGAGCUUCUGUUAAGUAAAAAAUAACUAGGGAUACCAGACUGAGUUUUUCAGCCCAGUCAGAAGAAAAGCAAUUUGACAUACUGUUACCCUUUGCAGUCUUAGCAAGAGAAAGACAAUGCGCUUGUUUAUUGUCUAAAUUAGCACUUUGCCCCUGAUACUCCUCAAAGCUGAAAGACCCUCUAAGAUCAAGAACUGAUGAAGGCUAUAGAAAAAUGUGCUGCUCAAAAGGAGAUUUCCAUCUCGAAAAGGCAAAUUACUGGGAAAAAUGAAUCUGUUUUCUCUGCCAAGCAUUGGAGACAUAGAAGGAGACUGCCUCCUGCUGGGGUCAGUAUUUUCUGCAUCCCAUGAACGGAAGUGAGAACAGCCUUGGGAGCUAAUGCCGAAGGUGGGAGAAUCUGAUGCCCUCAGUCUCCAGUGAACUAAAGCUGAAGAAGACUCAGAUUUCUGACACAAUGGUAACACCUAUCCCUUCUGCCUGUGACUGCCAGGGCUUGCUGUAUGAUGAUAAGAAGAGAAUGUGACACAGAGGAAGGGGAAAAAGUCCAUCCCUCUGGUAGUAGGGGGUUGUGGAAUGGGAGGGAAAAAGGGAGAAGGAGAAGUAGAAAAUACUCAUAUCUAAAUGUCUUCAUGUCUUCUGCUUGACUUUAGCCAGGAAUGAGUGUUAGGAAAGAGGGGAUGCUCUAGAAGAGGAAGCUAUGGAGUCUUAUUUGGGUCUAUGUAAAUAGCCCAACCACAGGCCCUUCUGCCCAAUCUAGGGCAGACCCAUACCAGAGUUUAACGUGGCAACAAAGUGUGGUUAGACAGAAGUUAGGCAUGGAGUUUAGCUUUUCAAGGCAGCUUUCCAUCACUACAAGGCCAAGGCAGAAAUUAAAUAUCUCAUUUCCUUUUUGCAGGGUAGAGCAAGCAGGGCAAAGGGGAAUGACUGAGCAAUCAGGUGACUUGAGAGCCAAAUAACAUUCCCAUUCACAGGGUCUGAAUUGGUGAAAUGUAUCAAGAUCUUCAGCUUGAGAUGGACCAUCAGAGCAGGAGGCCAGAAGAGAGACAUGGGGUUUGUUGUGAUAACUAGAGCUAAAGUGAGCUAAGUGAUCAGUAGAGCAACACUGGGCUCUGGCCAACCAAAAUAAACCAGACCAUGAGCUCCACCAGAUAAGGCCCUCUGCUACAAGUACAGUAGGUGAGCAGCACCCAGGCAGAGAGAGGCAUUGUCAGGAAGACUGAAGGAAAGAGGAGCAUCACAAGUGAUGAGGAGCUGAUCUUCACCUAGGCAAGGAGGUGGGAAAGUCUUCCUUCCCCCAGAUGCCCUGGGAGAGAAUUGGGGAACAGGAAGACUCUGGGAAACUGAGCAUUUCUUUUUAUCAAAAGAUAAAGAGCACAAGGAUUAUUUACAUCAUUGUAAUAACCUACAUUUUUUAGGCAUAAUUUUAGAAACAUAUCUUGGCUGCAUAUAUGUGAGAUUGCUUACAUUUUUAAACAUUACAAUUGCUUAUUAAAUAAAAGAAGGACCCAAAUAAGAAAGAAGAGAAAAAAUAAGCAAGAUGCUUAAAAUGACUUAUCUCCUUCAACAGUAGAGUUCUCCAGCAAGAGAAAUACUAAAACCUAAGCUGUUGCUUUAGCACUAAGAUUAAGGUUCCUUCCCAAGUGUUAGUCCCAGUAAAGAAGGGUAUGAGAAAAAAUUGUGAAGUGCAUGCAAUUUGUUGUUACUUCUUUCAUGAUUCAACAUUCUACUAAGCUACCUGAUUUACCCUGGUUUUGUUGUUGUUAUUGUUGUUUUUAGCCAUUACAAAUACUUUGCUCUCAGGGAAGACUCAGAUAUUAAUUAUAAAUCUCAGGGUGAGUUUAUUAAUGCUAAAUGAUGAACAGUGUUAUAUUGAAAGAUAUUUCAAAAACAACCAAAUCUAGUUUCCAUAGCAACUAUUUUGUAUAUGGAAGAGACACAGAAAUUAAAGAAAAAAGACCUACCACUUACUGUGUGACCUUGACCUCUUUGAUAAUGUUUCUUCAUUUGUGAAAUAAUGAAAAACUAAUCAUUACUCUACCAACUCUCUUCCUUUUUAUGAAGAUUGAAACCACAUUAGUGAAAGUGCUUUGUGGUCUUUGAAGAAUAUAGUUAUAAUUGUUAUGUCAAAGACCAAAAGAGAUAUUCAGGACUCAAGGCAGGCCUUCAGGGUUUCCCUGAGAUAGCACUGUGGGCAUUGUUUCAUGAUCUUUUACUAUAUGAGAAGUAGAGAAAGGAAGAGAGUUCUAAAUGUUCAUAUACUGUGGUCAUAAAAUGCUUAAAUUACUCCCUCCUAAUCCACUUCUAAGAUAAAUAUUGGUGAGGAGCCAGGAUAGGCACUUUUUUUGUUAUUUACAAUCGUGGGGAAGGAGUUGAGUUGAAAUCAAAGCCUUUAGUAAUUUAAUAUAAUGGUGUAUAGGAUCUGAGUGCCCUACUGCCUCCUAGCAAUAAAAAGUUUGACUUCUAGAGUCAAGAACUUCUGUUUUUGCUAGUCUCCCCAAAAUUGUCACUCUGUGAAUAUACACAUUUUCUGUUCACAGUAGUAGGGAUGUGGAUUUUUUGCUUAUCAUGCUAGUUACUCCCUUGAAAAACUGAGUGGUAUUUAUAUGAUUGAUAAGCUUAUAUACCACAUAAAACCCAUGCUCCAGCUUGAACAGUUAUGGAUGGGUAAUGAUAUGUCUUGGUUUGCUGAAAAUAUAAUUACAAAGUAAUUAUUAAUGACUUACCUUUCAGUCUCAAAAAUGUUCCAGUUCCAACAAUUAAUUAUAUAAUCAUUUUACUUAUACCUAUAUGCGAACCAGAAUUGGGACACAUGGGCACCCUCGAUAAAACCCAGAUUUAAUCAACUGCAAAAAUCUUCCUCAGAAAAAGAAAAAUUCAAAGUUUCAAGAACUAGAACUUCAUGUUAAUUUUUAACGAAUAGCUCUGACGUUGGUGACCUAUUUCAGAAAUAUUGUAGCAAUUUAAAAGAGUAAUACAGAAUAACAACUUUUGCUACUUUGUGGAUCAUACAAGCUAGUAUAAGAUUAGAAAGAGAAAAGAUCAGUGUAAUUGAUUUGAUAGAAUCAUAAAAAUUACUCUUAGCAGAAUUAGGGUGAAUGAAGUCUAUCUUCGAUAACUAGAUAAUAUUUAAAUAGUAAUCAUUUCAGACAUUUUGAGUGUCAUUUUGUAAAACUGGGUCCAUCUUGAUGAAGGUUCCAAGUCAUUUGAAAAGAAUAUAUAUCAUUUCAUCAUUGAAUAUAAUCUUCAGUUAACGUCAAUUAGCUCAAGUUGGUUGGUAAUGUUGUAUUAUUCAGGUCUAGUAUAUCCUCAUUAAUUUUCUUUCUACUUCUUCUAUCAAGUACCGACAGAAGAUAUGAGAGUGUUGAAUUCACUCUCAUGGUAUGAGACAUGAGAGUGUUGAAUUCAUUCUCACGGUGUUGAAUUCAUUUGAUAGAAUUCAGUACUUCUAUCAAGUACUGAUAUGAGAGUGUUCAAUGAACUCUAUCACCCUGCAGUGAUAUAGAACAAUAUAACUUAUUCCGCCUAUCUAGCUGUAAUUUUGUAUCCAUUAAUCAACCUCUCCCUAUAUCCCAUUUUCCCCAACCCUUACCAGCCUCUAGUGAGCAUUCUACUCUCCAUUUUUAUGAGAUCAACUUAUUUAGCUUCCAAAAAUGAGUGAGAAUAUGCGAUAUUUAUCAUUUUGUAUCUGGCUUAUUUCACUUCAUAUAAUAUUCUUCAAACUCCUCCAUGAUGCCACAAAUGACAGGACUCUUUUUUUAGCUUAGAGUCUAUUUUAUCUGAUGUAAGUUUAGCUACUGAUCACUUUUGGUUUUCCAUUGCAUGGAAUAUCUUUUUCCACCCCUUAACUUUAAAUCUAUGUGUGUUUUUAAAGGUGAAGUGAGUUUUUUAUAGGAAGCAUAUAGUUGGGUGUUGUUUUUUUAAUCCAUUCAUUUCAAAAAAUCCAUCCUUUUUUUAAUCCAAAUGGUUUUUUAAGCCAUUUUAU